UACGAAGGGGGCUAGCGUUGCUCGGAAUCACUGGGCGUAAAGCGCACGUAGGCGGAUUGCUAAGUCAGGGGUGAAAUCCUGGAGCUCAACUCCAGAACUGCCUUUGAUACUGGCGACCUUGAGUCCGGGAGAGGUGAGUGGAACUGCGAGUGUAGAGGUGAAAUUCGUAGAUAUCGGUAGGAACACCAAUGGCGAAGGCAGCUUGCUGGGCAUUAUCUGACGCUAAGGCACGAAAGCGUGGGGAGCGAACAGG
rnacentral:rRNA from 1 species